rnacentral:rRNA from 1 species
UACGAAGGGGGCUAGCGUUGCUCGGAUUUACUGGGCGUAAAGGGCGCGUAGGCGGACAGUUAAGUCGGGGGUGAAAGCCCGGGGCUCAACCUCGGAAUUGCCUUCGAUACUGGCUGUCUUGAGUACGGGAGAGGUGUGUGGAACUCCGAGUGUAGAGGUGAAAUUCGUAGAUAUUCGGAAGAACACCAGUGGCGAAGGCGGCUCUCUGGACCGAGACUGACGCUGAGGCGCGAAAGCGUGGGGAGCAAACAGG